CUAUGCGCCUUGCCACGCCCGCUCAGAAACUUAAAGGAAUUGACGGGGGCCCGCACAAGCGGUGGAGCAUGUGGUUUAAUUCGAUGAUACGCGAGGAACCUUACCUGGGCUCAAAUGUAUGUUGACGUAUUCUGAAAGGGAUACUUCUUCGGACAAUAUACAAGGUGCUGCAUGGUUGUCGUCAGCUCGUGCCGUGAGGUGUCGGGUUAAGUCCCAUAACGAGCGCAACCCCUAUCAUUAGUUGCCAGCGGGUCAUGCCGGGGACUCUAGCGGAACUGCCAGCGUAAGCUGCGAGGAAGGUGGGGAUGACGUCAAAUCAGCACGGCCCUUACGUCCAGGGCUACACACGUGUUACAAUGGCCAGUACAGAGGGCAGCCACCCCGCGAGGGGGCGCUAAUCCUAAAAGCUGGUCCCAGUUCGGAUCGGAGUCUGCAACCCGACUCCGUGAAGCUGGAUUCGCUAGUAAUCGCGCAUCAGCCACGGCGCGGUGAAUACGUUCCCGGGCCUU
rnacentral:rRNA from 1 species